rnacentral:lncRNA from 1 species
AGAGGGACAGAGAGACAGGGGUAUCGGCAGGCACACGUCCAGGCCAUGCCAGGGGAGGCUGCGGGCGCUGAGCUGCCGCUGCCUGAGGCAGGAGGGCCUGGAUCCCGCACAGGUGAGACCGCGCCGGCUCCCCUUUCUGGCUCAAUACCUUUUCUGGCUUUCUCUCUCCUCCAUCCCUCUGCCUCCUCACAGUCCCCUCCCCUGUCUUUCCAGACCGGUUAUUCCCUCCACCUGCAUCUUUCCCCCACCCCCAAGCCCCAGGAUUUCGUGAAGGCCUGGGCGCCGCAGACAGCAUCCUCCUAGCCUUGUAGCUAUGAAGGGCAGCGUCUUGGCCUUUCACUCUGGGCUGUGGGGACCGUAGUCUUUGGACCAAGUCCCAUUUAGUUGUGUCUCUGUGCCACAUUGCAUUCCAUUGUCCACAGAGAGCUGGGCCCCAGGACCGACGGUGGGGUGGCAGGUUUGGAAGCAGGGAGGCCCAAAGGGUCCUUGCAGGCUCAUCCUGUGACCACCAGAGGGUUCUUAGAGGUACGUUGGGUGCCUAGGGCAGCAAGCGGCUAGACUUAUAAGGGAGUUGUAGGGCCGAUGGAACCUGGGAGGCUAGCCAGAGGACACCGGCAGAACCACGUCUGAGAGGUGGGGCUCUGAACAGCAGCUCUCCUGGCCAGCAGUGGUCUUCCUAUGCAGACCUUGGAUAAGAGGGGGCAUUAAAUGUUGGUAGAGGUCAGUCCACUUGCAGGCUGGAGGAUACUCUUAAGUUUAAAUGGUUCCUGCUGGAGAUGGGCUGUGUGUAACUUGGGCAAAGCCAAGGGCACCUUGCUGGGUGCAAGAAGUUAUCUAGGGACAGGAUGGGCAAGAAUGGGGAUGGUGCCAGUGCUGUGCCAGGGUCCUGGGUGGGAGCUAACAGUUCCCAUCUUACUCUUGCUGGGGGACAGGCAAUCCAGGCUGGGACUCCCCAGGCCCAGUCAUAAGCUAGUUUGCUUGGUGACCUUGAAUGACACAUACACACACACACACAAACAUACACACACCUUGGCUUUUUAUUUCCCUUCCAUUUUAACCUUGGCCCAAUUCUGCCCUACUGCCCUGGGGCCACACUAGGAAGUGGAGAAGGCAAGAGCCUAACUUGGGAACGCCCAGUGAUGGCUACUAGCCACACCCACGUCGGUACCAUCUCCCUCAAAGAACCUGAAAGAACCCCUCUCCCUUUCUGUCAGGACCUGAUUGCUCUAAUAGCCCAGCUUCUGGUCAGUGAGUCCAGCUGAUGUCAAAGAACCCAGCGCUCAGACAUUCCUGAGAUCAGAUAUCAAGGAGGUGGCUGUCUCCCCUCCAGCUUCCCUCUCAUCCCAGCUGAGAAUUGCUCAGUAGCUGAGAAAGACAAAGCCGCCACGGUACAGGCGAUGUUGCCCUGUCACCAGUGAGCAUGGUAAAGCCGGCAGUGUUGGCUGUGUGCCUGCUGGAGCCGCAGGCCCCUAGGCACUGCUCCUCCCCCUCUUACGCAGGACGUGAACUGAGCUCUGGGGACAGACACUAGGAAGGCUUUAAGUGGAUACUUCAGAGAGAUGUGUUUUUGGCCUUGGUCCAGGUGAGGGAGGGGCUGUUACAGAGUCUUUUAAAAGGAGCACUCAGAGAAACACUUAACACAGUUGAGCUAAAAGCCACGAGACUCAAAUGAAUGUGCAAAGUGACCUGAGUAGGGACAUGCAGCUCGCCAUGAGGCAAGACAGCAUUAGCCAGGAGGAUAGGAGGGGCAUGGGAUGCUGCUAUCUGGAGAGGUUUCUUUGCUACCUUCCUAAGUCCCUAAGUACUUUCUGACCCAUAGUGCUCCACGGCCUGAGCAUGUGUGUCCGGUGCAGCAUGUCGGCAGAAGGCAUGUCAGCCCAUGAGCUUUUGUGAGCACCUGUACCUGACCCAGAUGGUGCCUAAGACCUAGAGAAGGACCCCAGGGCAGACCAGGAGUUCCCAGCGUGCUGGAGGAUCUGUUACUCUGAGCGGCUGUCUCCAUGGAGAGGACAUAGCCAGCCUUCCCUCAGCUGUCCCGUUCCCGUGGCCAUCAUUUCCCACCAUGGCCCUUUUGACAGACCGUGGUACCUGUCUGUCUCCAUUCUCAGCUCUGUGCAGGGCUGCGCUGAGCUCUGAGGAACCCGAGGUUGGUCUUGAGUAUAGACAGCAAGGGUAGGAGAGAGAUAGGCUAAGAAGCUCCUGCUUACAGCAGACUUGGACUGUCCCAGAGCUGUAGUGUGCAGGACCCCUGCCCUUGUCAUAGGAAAGAGCUGGCACUGCCCAGCGGGUUCUCGUGGCCCUCUGUUCCAGAUAAGCCCAGCUGAACCUAGCUGAACCGGCAAGCUGAGUUCUGAACAGAGACAAUUGCUAGUUGUGUGUUUGCUGAAGUGCGCCCUCCAAAACAUCUUGGUUUCUACUACACAACAGCACCCCCCACAGCUACCCUUCUUAUAAAGCCUCUGUCAGCAGCUGCCGAAUCUGCUGAACACCUGGAAAGUCUUCCUCAAAUACACUUUGCUUACC